rnacentral:rRNA from 1 species
UAAGGAAUAUUGGUCAAUGGACGCAAGUCUGAACCAGCCAUGCCGCGUGAAGGAUGAAGGUCCUCUGGAUUGUAAACUUCUUUUAUCUGGGACGAAAACGGGAUUUUUAUCUCAAUUGACGGUACCAUUUAUAAGCUCCGGCUAACUACGUGCCAGCAGCCGCGGUAAUACGUAGGGAGCAAGCGUUGUUCGGAUUUACUGGGCGUAAAGGGCGCGUAGGCGGCGCGGUAAGUCACUUGUGAAAUCUCUGAGCUUAACUCAGAACGGCCAAGUGAUACUGCUGUGCUAGAGUGCGGAAGAGGCAACCGGAAUUCUUGGUGUAGCGGUGAAAUGCGUAGAUAUCAAGAGGAACACCUGAGGCGAAGGCGGGUUGCUGGGCCGACACUGACGCUGAUGCGCGAAAGCCAGGGGAGCAAACG